UAUUAAAAAAUUCAUCAAUAUCUAUUGUUAAAAACUGACGUGGAUGACGAAAUAACCAAAUACUUCAUAUGUACCUCAUACUGAUGUAUAGAGAUUAAUUUUUAACAGUAGAAAUAAACAAAAUUAUUAGCA
rfam:Gossypium raimondii Chr02_contig_47, whole genome shotgun sequence.